rnacentral:rRNA from 1 species
CAGCAGCCACGGGAAUACGAAGGGGGCUAGCGUUGCUCGGAAUGACUGGGCGUAAAGCGUGCGUAGGUGGUGGUUUAAGUCCGUUGUGAAAGCCCUGGGCUCAACCUGGGAAUUGCAGUGGAUACUGGAUCACUAGAGUGUGGUAGAGGAUAGUGGAAUUUCCGGUGUAGCAGUGAAAUGCGUAGAGAUCGGAAGGAACAUCUGUGGCGAAGGCGACUAUCUGGGCCAACACUGACACUGAGGCACGAAAGCGUGGGGAGCAAACAGGAUUAGAUACCCGCGUAGUCCCUGUCUCUUAUAC